UUUUCGUAACACUACAUAUGUUAAAACAUAAAAAUAUACACCCACCCCCAAAACAAAAAUAAUAACCUCAUCCAAUACCAUAUACAGACAUUGUGUUUUGAAAGAAGAAGUUACCAUCAUUAAAAAAGAAGAAAAAAUGGGAGAAAAUCCUUGCAAUAUUUUUGAGAAAUUGAUUAAAUCCACACUAAACUUUUUUGGAUAUGGCAAUAACCACAUCUCCAACUUUGUUGCCUCCACAUACUCUCACCAAGAAGAAGAUAUCUCAUCUAUGGAAAAUAUUGAGUACAUGACAACAAGGUCUAUAAGUGUGAGUAACUCAAGUAGAGGAAGAAGCCCUCCAAGGCCACCAGUCCAAUCUGGAGGAGGUGCUCAAACAAAUUAUUCUUCUUACUAAUUAUUUAGUUUUUUCUUUUUAAGUCUCUGAAUAUAUAUAUACUCUUUGUUAUUUUAGCCAACAAUAAUAGAUCUGAGACGUUUCUGUUGAAUAUUUCUAGUGUAAAAAGGAUGUUCUUAUCUAAUGUUCUUAUCUAUCCACUAAUUUUAUUUGGAGUUAAA